CCCAGCCGCCGCCACCUCAUGAUUCACUUAAUUAUUCAAUUAAUUCUCCUUAAUUUCCAAUAAAACUUACUUAAUACUAAAUCAAUUAAUAUUAAGUCUAAAAAGAACAACAAAUCUCUCUUCACGUUAAACCUUACACGCCUCUCUUAUCUUCUACUCAGUGAACGAAAAACACAAAAAAUGAAACUCUCCGCCUCUCUCUCACGAUUCGGCUCUCGUUCUCGCUCUCUCAGUUUCUAUCGAGUUCGAUCUCUGUGUCUCGCGGUUCAGUUCUUCGGAACAAACACAAAACAUUCAAUCAAAUACCCGAUUCCCACAUGAACCCUAAAUGCCCCAAAGUAUAUGCUCAGAGAUUUACAUGGUGAUUACAAGUUAGAGUUACAAGUAUAAACUGGCAAAUGAAUAAAGGAAAAGAAAACAAAGCGAAUUCGAAUCAAGGUCUACCUCAAGAGUUUUACAGGAGCAGCAGCAAGGUUUUGAACUGGUGCAGAGUAGUGGAGAGGUGGAGCAUAGUUACGUGAAGACAAUGGGCAAAGAUGUUGAUCAAUUUUUUUUGUUUUUUUUCUUCUAUGUAAUGGACAGACUAAUGUGUAAAAUAUCCUACUAUGCAAGUAAUACGUAUUGGACUAUUUUUUUGUUUUA